UACGAAGGGGGCUAGCGUUGCUCGGAAUCACUGGGCGUAAAGCGCACGUAGGCGGAUUGCUAAGUCAGGGGUGAAAUCCUGGAGCUCAACUCCAGAACUGCCUUUGAUACUGAAGAUCUUGAGUUCGGGAGAGGUGAGUGGAACUGCGAGUGUAGAGGUGAAAUUCGUAGAUAUUCGCAAGAACACCAGUGGCGAAGGCGGCAUCCUGGACCGACACUGACACUGAGGAGCGAAAGCCAGGGGAGCAAACGGG
rnacentral:rRNA from 1 species